GACGAACGCUGGCGGCGUGCCUAAUACAUGCAAGUUGAGCGAUGAAGAUUGGUGCUUGCACCAAUUUGAAGAGCAGCGAACGGGUGAGUAACGCGUGGGGAAUCUGCCUUUGAGCGGGGGACAACAUUUGGAAACGAAUGCUAAUACCGCAUAAUAACUUUAAACAUAAGCUUUAAGUUUGAAAGAUGCAAUUGCAUCACUCAAAGAUGAUCCCGCGUUGUAUUAGCUAGUUGGUGAGGUAAAGGCUCACCAAGGCGAUGAUACAUAGCCGACCUGAGAGGGUGCUCGGCCACAUUGGGACUGAGACACGGCCCAAACUCCUACGGGAGGCAGCAGUAGGGAAUCUUCGGCAAUGGACGAAAGUCUGACCGAGCAACGCCGCGUGAGUGAAGAAGGUUUUCGGAUCGUAAAACUCUGUUGGUAGAGAAGAACGUUGGUGAGAGUGGAAAGCUCAUCAAGUGACGGUAACUACCCAGAAAGGGACGGCUAACUACGUG
rnacentral:rRNA from 1 species